rnacentral:tRNA from 1 species
GAGUAGGUAGACGAAGAAGAUUUUAACUACUGAAAUGGAUUGCUAAUCCAUUGGGGUUACCCCGCGUGAGUUCGAAUCUCAUCCUGAUCG